rnacentral:rRNA from 1 species
CACGUAGGCACCAAGCGUUGUCCGGAUUUAUUGGGCGUAAAGGGCUCGUAGGCGGUUCGGUAAGUCGGGUGUGAAAACUCUGGGCUCAACCCAGAGCCGCCACCUGAUACUGCUGUGACUCGAGUGCGGUAGGGGAGCGGGGAAUUCCUGGUGUAGCGGUGAAAUGCGCAGAUAUCAGGAGGAACACCAGUGGCGAAGGCGCCGCUCUGGGCCGUGACUGACGCUGAAGAGCGAAAGCGUGGGGAGCGAACAGG